AUUGAACGCUGGCGGCAGGCCUAACACAUGCAAGUCGAGCGGAAACGAGUUAUCUGAACCUUCGGGGAACGAUAACGGCGUCGAGCGGCGGACGGGUGAGUAAUGCCUAGGAAAUUGCCCUGAUGUGGGGGAUAACCAUUGGAAACGAUGGCUAAUACCGCAUGAUGCCUACGGGCCAAAGAGGGGGACCUUCGGGCCUCUCACGUCAGGAUAUGCCUAGGUGGGAUUAGCUAGUUGGUGAGGUAAGGGCUCACCAAGGCGACGAUCCCUAGCUGGUCUGAGAGGAUGAUCAGCCACACUGGAACUGAGACACGGUCCAGACUCCUACGGGAGGCAGCAGUGGGGAAUAUUGCACAAUGGGCGCAAGCCUGAUGCAGCCAUGCCGCGUGUAUGAAGAAGGCCUUCGGGUUGUAAAGUACUUUCAGUCGUGAGGAAGGUGGUGUAGUUAAUAGCUGCAUUAUUUGACGUUAGCGACAGAAGAAGCACCGGCUAACUCCGUGCCAGCAGCCGCGGUAAUACGGAGGGUGCGAGCGUUAAUCGGAAUUACUGGGCGUAAAGCGCAUGCAGGUGGUUUGUUAAGUCAGAUGUGAAAGCCCGGGGCUCAACCUCGGAAUUGCAUUUGAAACUGGCAGACUAGAGUACUGUAGAGGGGGGUAGAAUUUCAGGUGUAGCGGUGAAAUGCGUAGAGAUCUGAAGGAAUACCGGUGGCGAAGGCGGCCCCCUGGACAGAUACUGACACUCAGAUGCGAAAGCGUGGGGAGCAAACAGGAUUAGAUACCCUGGUAGUCCACGCCGUAAACGAUGUCUACUUGGAGGUUGUGGCCUUGAGCCGUGGCUUUCGGAGCUAACGCGUUAAGUAGACCGCCUGGGGAGUACGGUCGCAAGAUUAAAACUCAAAUGAAUUGACGGGGGCCCGCACAAGCGGUGGAGCAUGUGGUUUAAUUCGAUGCAACGCGAAGAACCUUACCUACUCUUGACAUCCAGAGAACUUUCCAGAGAUGGAUUGGUGCCUUCGGGAACUCUGAGACAGGUGCUGCAUGGCUGUCGUCAGCUCGUGUUGUGAAAUGUUGGGUUAAGUCCCGCAACGAGCGCAACCCUUAUCCUUGUUUGCCAGCGAGUAAUGUCGGGAACUCCAGGGAGACUGCCGGUGAUAAACCGGAGGAAGGUGGGGACGACGUCAAGUCAUCAUGGCCCUUACGAGUAGGGCUACACACGUGCUACAAUGGCGCAUACAGAGGGCGGCCAACUUGCGAAAGUGAGCGAAUCCCAAAAAGUGCGUCGUAGUCCGGAUUGGAGUCUGCAACUCGACUCCAUGAAGUCGGAAUCGCUGGUAAUCGUGGAUCAGAAUGCCACGGUGAAUACGUUCCCGGGCCU
rnacentral:rRNA from 1 species